rnacentral:rRNA from 1 species
UACGAAGGGGGCUAGCGUUGUUCGGAGUUACUGGGCGUAAAGGGCGCGUAGGCGGCCCUCCAAGUCGGGUGUGAAAGCCCACGGCUCAACCGUGGAAUUGCACUCGAGACUGACGGGCUCGAGGACGGGAGAGGAUGGUGGAAUUCCCAGUGUAGAGGUGAAAUUCGUAGAUAUUGGGAAGAACACCGGUGGCGAAGGCGGCUCUCUGGACCGAGACUGACGCUGAGGCGCGAAAGCGUGGGGAGCAAACAGG